rnacentral:rRNA from 1 species
AUUGAACGCUGGCGGCAGGCCUAACACAUGCCAGUCGAGCGGAUGAAGGGAGCUUGCUCCUGGAUUCAGCGGCGGACGGGUGAGUAAUGCCUAGGAAUCUGCCUGGUAGUGGGGGAUAACGUCCGGAAACGGGCGCUAAUACCGCAUACGUCCUGAGGGAGAAAGUGGGGGAUCUUCGGACCUCACGCUAUCAGAUGAGCCUAGGUCGGAUUAGCUAGUUGGUGGGGUAAAGGCCUACCAAGGCGACGAUCCGUAACUGGUCUGAGAGGAUGAUCAGUCACCUUGGAACUGAGACACGGUCCAGACUCCUACGGGAGGCAGCAGUGGGGAAUAUUGGACAAUGGGCGAAAGCCUGAUCCAGCCAUGCCGCGUGUGUGAAGAAGGUCUUCGGAUUGUAAAGCACUUUAAGUUGGGAGGAAGGGCAGUAAGUUAAUACCUUGCUGUUUUGACGUUACCAACAGAAUAAGCACCGGCUAACUUCGUG